GGUGGUUCACAGGUGACGCAUCCCGGAAUUGGGCUCCCUCUUCUCUGGUUCUGGGUGCAUCACCAGAGAAUUGUU
rfam:Myotis davidii contig207743, whole genome shotgun sequence.